rnacentral:misc_RNA from 1 species
GCCAUUCAAUACAUGUGUAGAGAGGCACCAAAGGCAGUCAUUGAACUUGAGAACUAUGGGCUGCCAUUUUCCAGAACUGAAGAUGGACGAAUUUAUCAGCGUGCAUUUGGUGGUCAGAGUUUAAAUUUUGGAAAAGGUGGACAGGCAUAUCGUUGUGCAUGUGCUGCUGACCGAACUGGGCAUGCUCUUUUGCAUACUCUCUAUGGCCAAGCUAUGAAACAUAAUACACAAUUUUUUGUGGAAUAUUUUGCUUUGGAUCUACUAAUGAAUAGUGAUGGUAGCUGCCAAGGAGUAAUUGCAUUGAAUAUGGAGGAUGGAACAUUGCAUAGAUUCCAAGCUGCUUCAACCAUCCUGGCCACAGGGGGAUAUGGUAGAACAUACUUUUCAGCAACCUCAGCUCAUACAUGCACUGGAGAUGGCAAUUCUAUGGUUGCAAGGGCUGGGCUUCCUCUCCAGGAUCUGGAGUUUGUUCAGUUUCAUCCAACGGGCAUAUAUGGGGCUGGCUGCCUAAUUACUGAAGGAUCUCGUGGUGAAGGUGGUAUUCUUAGGAACAGUGAAGGUGAACGGUUUAUGGAAAGAUAUGCUCCUACAGCCAAGGAUCUUGCAUCUAGAGAUGUUGUUUCGAGAUCUAUGACCAUGGAGAUUCGGGAGGGUCGUGGUGUAGGACCUUUGAAGGACCAUAUCUAUUUGCAUUUAAAUCACUUGCCCCCAGAUGUACUAAAA